rnacentral:rRNA from 1 species
CGCCUCUUGUAACCUAAUGAUAAGAGGUCCAGCCUGCCCUGUGACAUCUAGUUUAACGGCCGCGGUACUUUGACCGUGCGAAGGUAGCGUAAUCAUUUGUCUCUUAAAUUGAGACCUGUAUGAAGGGCACCACGAGGGCUUUACUGUCUCCUUUUUCAGGUCAAUGAACUUGAUCUUCUCGUGCAGAAGCGGGAAUACCCACAUAAGACGAGAAGACCCUAUGGAGCUUUAGACACAACACAGACCACGUAAAGCCUUCACAUAAUGAAGUAAAACUAAGUGAUACCUCUGUGGUAUGUCUUUGGUUGGGGCGACCGCGGAGAAAAAUCGAGCCUCCGCGUGGUAGGGAGCAUCUUAUUCACCCUCCUCCUAAAGCCAAGAGCCGCAGCUCUAAGCAACAGAACUUUUGACCAGCACAGAUCCGGCAAGGCCGAUCAACGGACCGAGUUACCCUAGGGAUAACAGCGCAAUCUUCUUUUAGAGCUCAUAUCGACAAGAAGGUUUACGACCUCGAUGUUGGAUCAGGACAUCCUGAGGGUGCAGCCGCUAUCAAGGGUUUGUUUGUUCAACAAUUAAAGUCCU